rnacentral:rRNA from 1 species
UACGUAGGGAGCAAGCGUUGUCCGGAAUUACUGGGUGUAAAGGGAGCGUAGGCGGGGAAACAAGUUGAAUGUGAAAUCCAUGGGCUCAACCCAUGGCUGCGUUCAAAACUGUAUCUCUUGAGUGAAGUAGAGGCAGGCGGAAUUCCUAGUGUAGCGGUGAAAUGCGUAGAUAUUAGGAGGAACACCAGUGGCGAAGGCGGCCUGCUGGGCUUUUACUGACGCUGAGGCUCGAAAGCGUGGGUAGCAAACAGG